UACGUAGGGUGCAAGCGUUAAUCGGAAUUACUGGGCGUAAAGCGUGCGCGGGCGGUUUUGUAAGUUUGUCGUGAAAUCCCCGGGCUUAACCUGGGAAUUGCGAUGAAGACUGCAAGGCUAGAAUCUGGCAGAGGGGGGUAGAAUUCCACGUGUAGCAGUGAAAUGCGUAGAGAUGUGGAGGAACACCGAUGGCGAAGGCAGCCCCCUGGGUCAAGAUUGACGCUCAUGCACGAAAGCGUGGGGAGCAAACAGG
rnacentral:rRNA from 1 species